rnacentral:rRNA from 1 species
GACGAACGCUGGCGGCGUGCCUAAUACAUGCAAGUAGAACGCUGAAGGAGGAGCUUGCUCUUCUGGAUGAGUUGCGAACGGGUGAGUAACGCGUAGGUAACCUGCCUGUUAGCGGGGGAUAACUAUUGGAAACGAUAGCUAAUGCCGCAUAAGAGUAGAUGUUGCAUGACAUUUACUUAAAAGGUGCAAUUGCAUCACUACCAGAUGGACCUGCGUUGUAUUAGCUAGUUGGUGUGGUAAUGGCUUACCAAGGCGACGAUACAUAGCCGACCGGAGAGGGUGGUCGGCCACCCUGGGACUGAGACACGGCCCAGACUCCUACGGGAGGCAGCAGUAGGGAAUCUUCGGCAAUGGACGGAAGUCUGACCGAGCAACGCCGCGUGAGUGAAGAAGGUUUGCGGAUCGUAAAGCUCUGUUGUAAGAGAAGAACGAGUGUGAGAGUGGAAAGUUCACACUGUGACGGUAUCUUACCAGAAAGGGACGGCUAACUACGUG